rnacentral:rRNA from 1 species
AUACCCUGGUAGUCCACGCCGUAAACGAUGUCGACUUGGAGGUUGUGCCCUUGAGGCGUGGCUUCCGGAGCUAACGCGUUAAGUCGACCGCCUGGGGAGUACGGCCGCAAGGUUAAAACUCAAAUGAAUUGACGGGGGCCCGCACAAGCGGUGGAGCAUGUGGUUUAAUUCGAUGCAACGCGAAGAACCUUACCUGGUCUUGACAUCCACGGAAGUUUUCAGAGAUGAGAAUGUGCCUUCGGGAACCGUGAGACAGGUGCUGCAUGGCUGUCGUCAGCUCGUGUUGUGAAAUGUUGGGUUAAGUCCCGCAACGAGCGCAACCCUUAUCCUUUGUUGCCAGCGGUCCGGCCGGGAACUCAAAGGAGACUGCCAGUGAUAAACUGGAGGAAGGUGGGGAUGACGUCAAGUCAUCAUGGCCCUUACGACCAGGGCUACACACGUGCUACAAUGGCGCAUACAAAGAGAAGCGACCUCGCGAGAGCAAGCGGACCUCAUAAAGUGCGUCGUAGUCCGGAUUGGAGUCUGCAACUCGACUCCAUGAAGUCGGAAUCGCUAGUAAUCGUGGAUCAGAAUGCCACGGUGAAUACGUUCCCGGGCCUUGUACACACCGCCCGUCACACCAUGGGAGUGGGUUGCAAAAGAAGUAGGUAGCUUAACCUUCGGGAGGGCGCUUACCACUUUGUGAUUCAUGACUGGGGUGAAGUCGUAACAAGGUAACCGUAGGGGAACCUGCGGUUGGAUCACCUCCUUACCUUAAAGAAGC